rnacentral:rRNA from 1 species
AUUGAACGCUGGCGGCAGGCCUAACACAUGCAAGUCGAGCGGAGCGGCGGACGGGUGAGUAAUGCCUAGGAAUCUGCCUGGUAGUGGGGGAUAACGUCCGGAAACGGGCGCUAAUACCGCAUACUAUCAGAUGAGCCUAGGUCGGAUUAGCUAGUUGGUGGGGUAACGGCCUACCAAGGCGACGAUCCGUAACUGGCCUGAGAGGUUGAUCAGCCACACUGGAACUGAGACACGGUCCAGACUCCUACGGGAGGCAGCAGUGGGGAAUAUUGGACAAUGGGCGAAAGCCUGAUCCAGCCAUGCCGCGUGUGUGAAGAAGGUCUUCGGAUUGUAAAGCACUGUUAGUUGGGAGGCGGUACCAACAGAAUAAGCACCGGCUAACUUCGUGCCAGCCGCCGCGGUAAUUC